rnacentral:rRNA from 1 species
AUGAACGCUGGCGGCGUGCCUAAUACAUGCAAGUCGAGCGAACGGACGAGAAGCUUGCUUUUCUGAUGUUAGCGGCGGACGGGUGAGUAACACGUGGAUAACCUACCUAUAAGACUGGGAUAACUUCGGGAAACCGGAGCUAAUACCGGAUAAUAUUUUGAACCGCAUGGUUCAAAAGUGAAAGACGGUCUUGCUGUCACUUAUAGAUGGAUCCGCGCUGCAUUAGCUAGUUGGUAAGGUAACGGCUCACCAAGGCAACGAUGCAUAGCCGACCUGAGAGGGGGAGAGGGGAAAAUGGAGAUGAGACACGGUGAAGACGCAGAAGAGAGGCAGCAGGAGGGAAUGUUAAGCAAUGGGCGAAAGACUGAAGGAGCCAAUAAGCGGGAGUGAAUAAGUUCGUAAGAAUUUAAAACAAUGUUAUGAGGGAAGACAAGAAGAGGCAGGAACCACGAACGGCCGGCAGGCGAAAAAGUAGAAGAGAACCCCUAACCUGGGC